rnacentral:tRNA from 1 species
GGUGGCUCAGUGGUAGAGCGCUUGCUUUGCAGGCAUGAGGCCCUGGGUUUGAUUCCCCAGCACCA